rnacentral:rRNA from 1 species
GAAUCCCUUGGGCUCAGGAUGAACGCUAGCGGCGGGCCUAAUACAUGCAAGUCGAACGGUGCAGCAAUGCAUAGUGGCAGACGGGUGCGUAACGCGUAUGCAACCUACCUUUUAUCGGGGGACAACAUUUCGAAAGAAGUGCUAAUACCGCGUAAGAUAGUAGUGGGACAUCCCACAGCUAUUAAACUUUCGGGGAUAGAAGAUGGGCAUGCGUCUGAUUAGCUAGUUGGCGGGGUAACGGCCCACCAAGGCGACGAUCAGUAGGGGAACUGAGAGGUUGAUCCCCCACACUGGCACUGAGAUACGGGCCAGACUCCUACGGGAGGCAGCAGUAGGGAAUAUUGGGCAAUGGACGGAAGUCUGACCCAGCCACGCCGCGUGCAGGAGGAAGGCGCUCUGCGUUGUAAACUGCUUUAGCAGGGGAAGAAAAGACUCAUGCGUGAGGAAUUGACGGUACCCUGAGAAUAAGCACCGGCUAACUACGUG